UACGGGGGGGGGCAAGCGUUGUUCGGAAUUACUGGGCGUAAAGCGCGCGUAGGCGGACCUGCAAGUCGGGGGUGAAAGCCCGAGGCUCAACCUCGGAACUGCCUUCGAUACUGCGGGUCUCGAGUCCGGGAGAGGUGAGUGGAAUUCCUAGUGUAGAGGUGAAAUUCGUAGAUAUUAGGAAGAACACCAGUGGCGAAGGCGGCUCACUGGCCCGGUACUGACGCUGAGGCGGACGAAAG
rnacentral:rRNA from 1 species